rnacentral:rRNA from 1 species
AAAACCAUCUAGAUUAAUAAUUUUUUAAAUACAGAAAUUUUUAAAAAUAAAAGCAUAAAAGUUCCCUCUUGCAUAAGGAAAGAAAGAUUCUCCAAAAAUAAUCUAUUCCGAAUGUUUUUGAGCAAGAGAGGACAAAAUUUGUUAUGGAAUUAUAAUAGUCCUUUCUAGAAGAAAUAAUCUUUUCGAAAAUCCAAAUAUCUGAUACAACUCCCAAAGAAAAGAAAAGGAAAGCCUUUCUAACGAUAGUUUUAAAAUGGAAGUUUUCUAUUAUUACCAAAAUUCUUUAUCCUAUUCUCCAAAGAAAAAUUAAACUUAUAUAACUAUAAUUCAAAAAGAUAAAAAAAGACAAUUUACUUAUUAGUAUAAAAUAAUAUAUUAUAAGAUUUUUGUAUAACCAAUUCCAAUUGAAUUUUUAAAACUAAAAGAUUUUCCCUUUGAAUGUUUAUCAAAAUCUUUUCUAUUUCAUUUAAUAGAAACUCCUGCCAUUUGUAAAAAAAGGCCGAAGAAUUUUACUUCGCAAAGGUAGCAUAAUAAUUUGGUCAUUUAAUGUGAUCUGGGAUGAAAGGAGAAACAAAAGGAAUCUUUUAAAAAAUUAAAAUUAUAAAUUAAACUUUCCUUGAAAAUCAGGAAAAACUUUUCUUAGACGAGAAGACCCCAGGAUCUAAAAUUUUAUAAUUUUUAUUGGGGCAAUAAUUUUAAUGAAAAAAUUAAUAUUUACAUUACUAUAAUAUUAAAACAAAGAUACCCUGGGGGUAACAGGGCAAUUAUCUAAAAGAGACCAAAUCUAAUAGAUAGAUUACUACCUCGAUGUUGGCUUUCUUAAAUCCUUUAGAGGUAGAAUAUUAGAGGAGUGAGUCUGUUCGACUCUUGAAAAGAACAUGAGCUGAGUUCAAGUCGACAUUAGUCAGACUGGAUUUUAUCUAGAAAUUUUUUAAAGGGAUCUAGUACGAAAGGACAAAUCUUUUUCUCUAGGAAGAAAAGACAAAUUUUGAAUUAUUAUUUUUAUAAAUUGCGUUAUGA